rnacentral:rRNA from 1 species
GAGUUUGAUCCUGGCUCAGGACGAACGCUGGCGGCGUGCUUAAUACAUGCAAGUCGAACGAGGUCCAACCGAUCUUCGGAUUGGUGAAGACUUAGUGGCGAACGGGUGCGUAACACGUGAGAAACCUGCCCCGGUCUCUGGAAUAACAGUUGGAAACGACUGCUAAUACCGGAUGCCGUCGGACCAUCGCAUGGUGGACCGACGAAAGGGUUACCGGACUGGGAGGGUCUCGCGGCCUAUCAGCUUGUUGGUGAGGUAACGGCUCACCAAGGCAUCGACGGGUAGCUGGUCUGAGAGGAUGGUCAGCCACACUGGGACUGAGACACGGCCCAGACUCCUACGGGAGGCAGCAGUAGGGAAUAUUGUACAAUGGGCGAAAGCCUGAUGCAGCAACGCCGCGUGCGGGAAGAAGGCCCUAGGGUUGUAAACCGCUUUCAGCAGGGAAGAAAAUGACGGUACCUGCAGAAGAAGGUGCGGCCAACUACGUGCCAGCAGCCGCGGUGACACGUAGGCACCAAGCGUUGUCCGGAUUUAUUGGGCGUAAAGAGCUCGUAGGCGGUUCAGUUAGUCGGGUGUGAAAACUCUGGGCUUAACCCAGAGACGCCACUCGAUACUGCUGUGACUAGAGUGCGGUAGGGGAGCGGGGAAUUCCUAGUGUAGCGGUGAAAUGCGCAGAUAUUAGGAGGAACACCAGUGGCGAAGGCGCCGCUCUGGGCCGUAACUGACGCUGAGGAGCGAAAGCGUGGGUAGCAAACAGGAUUAGAUACCCUGGUAGUCCACGCCGUAAACGUUGGGCACUAGGUGUGGGUCUCAACCAACGAGAUCCGCGCCGUCGCUAACGCAUUAAGUGCCCCGCCUGGGGAGUACGGCCGCAAGGCUAAAACUCAAAGGAAUUGANNGGGCCCGCACAAGCAGCGGGAGCGUGUUGCUUAAUUUCGAUGCAACGCGAAGAACCUUUACCUGGGUUUGACAUGUUAGGGAAAAGCCUUCUUAG